GCAAACCAAAAAUAAGUAUUAAAGCCAAUUUUAUUUCCUUUUUCUUUACUCAAAGAGAAGAUUAGAACAAGACAAAAGUAGUCAACCUAAAAGAUCUGAUAUUGAGAUCAAAAUAUUAAUAAGAAAAUAGGAACUCCUCACAAUCAUUUUUGUAUUUUCUGUUCUCAAUUUGCUCUGAUUUUGGUCUGAGGUGCUUUCCUUAUGCAAUGCACUACAAGAACUUUCAGACAUUACUUCAUCUAACAGGAAGUUGAAGUGCUGAAAGGAGACACCUAUACUUACCAUGAUGCCGUGAUUCCAAUAAUUCAGAAGCCUUAUUAGCGGCGGUACAGUCCACCUAAAGGUAGGUUCAUACUCGCAUUAAAUAAGAGUUCAAAUAGCUAUAUCAGAAGUGAAAAACAAUUGAAUCGAUGUAGACACCAAUUUACUUACUGACUCUGGCAACAUUGUGGUCAAUGUCAUCAAUCUUCGAGAUUCAGCAUCUGCUUCAAUCGUCCUUGUCGAACUAAAAAUUCCAUUCUCUGGAUUUGGACGCUUAAGCAUAGGUGUAAGUCGUGGGGCUAUAUAUUUCCUCUUUGCUUCAACAGAAGCAAAA